GCUUACGGCCAUACCACCCUGAACGCGCCCGAUCUCGUCCGAUCUCGGAAGCUAGCAGGGUCGGGCCUGGUUAGUACUUGGAUGGGAGACCGCCUGGGAAUACCAGGUGCUGUAAGCC
rnacentral:rRNA from 15 species